rnacentral:lncRNA from 1 species
CUGUUUGUCUCUGCCUGUCUGACAUUGAGUGCCUGGAGCCCUCCCUAGCUCUCCAGCUGGAACCUUCCUCUGUAGGAAGGCUGAGGCUAGCAGGGAGAAGCCAGGAUGGAUUUUAAAGAGCCUUGUUGUCUCUAAGGAAGAGUGGAGCUUACAUCUUUGGGUUUGCAGAAAUGCCCACAUUCAACUCAGGGGGAAUAAAAGGAUGGGAGUUAGAAUUUCAACUUGCAGUUGCAGAAUCUCAGAGUUAAAAGAAACCUCAGAGGUCAUCUCUUCCAACCCUUCUCCAGAGCAGCUUUAAUUGCCUGUGUGGGAGAUUCAGGGCCAGCAGCUGCAGCUUCCCUUUCCCUGCCUCUGACUUGCCAGAAUCCUGUUACACCUGGGAUUUAGGCACUUUCAAUCUGAAAAAAUACAUAUCCUUUCAGCACUCUGGACGGACUUGAGAACUGUCCUUACGUGACCUAAAGCUGGAGUAUUUUGAGAUUGGAGAAUUAAGGCCAACAGAGAUUUUGAGAAACACAUUGAAGGAUCUGUUAACACUUGAUAUACCCAAUAAAAGCAGUGGUUGUGCCAGUGCUGAUCUGUCUUGAUGUGAAUGUGAACAAUGGGAACCUGAGCUGAGCAGUUAAUGCUAGGGUGACAGAAACUGGACCUCUCCCAAGACAUGUGACAGAGUAAUACAGCAGCCAACUUCUUCGCCAAAUUAAAGUUUUACAAGAUUUAACCUGUCAUCAAGACCUGGGAUUUUGGUGAAGGACAGAAUAACGGGCUCCCAGAUUCACAAGCCCCACCAAGAGGAUCACCCCAGGAACGCUUGGAGGCUGAGGAGUUCACUGAGGCUACUGCAUCUUGAGACUCAGGAUGAAGACCCAGCUUGGGGCUGUCAAAGGUUUUUUGCAUGUCUGACACCCAUGACUCCACCUGGACCUUAUGGCUCCACCCAGAAGCAAUUCAGCCCAACAGGAGGACAGCUUCAACCCAUUACGAUUUCAUCUCUGCCCCAACCACUCAGCAGCAAGCACCUGUUACCUGUCCACCCCCACCCCUUCCCCCAAACUGCCUUUGAAAAAUCCCUAACCUAUGAGCUUUGAAUAAGAUGAGUACGAACUUCAUCGCCCACGUGGCGUGGCCGGCCUCGUGUCUAUUAAAUUCUUUUUCUACUACAA